rnacentral:tRNA from 19 species
UGGGUAGUAGCGAAGUGGUAACGCAGUGGACUCUGAAUCCAUAAUCAUAGGUUCGAUCCCUAUCUACCCAAGCA